CCUACGGGUGGCAGCAGUGAGGAAUAUUGGUCAAUGGGCGUAAGCCUGAACCAGCCAAGUCGCGUGAGGGAUGAAGGUUCUAUGGAUCGUCAACCUCUUUGAUAAGGGAAUAAAGUGCGGGACGUGUCCCGGUUUGUAUGUACAAUAAGAAUAAGGAUCGGCUAACUCCUUGCCAGCAGCCGCGGUAAUACGGAGUAUCGGAGCGUUAGCCGGAUUUAUUGGGUUUAAAGGGAGCGUAGGUGGAUUGUUAAGUAAGUGGUGAAAGUUUGCGGCUCAACCGUAAAAUUGCAGUUGAAAAUGGCAGUCUUGAGUACAGUAGAGGUGGGCGGAAUUCGUGGUGUAGCGGUGAAAUGCUUAGAUAUCACGAAGAACUCCGAUUGCGAAGGCAGUUCACUGGACUGCAACUGACACUGAGGCUCGAAAGUGUGGGUAUCAAACAGGAUUAGAUACCCCUGUAGUC
rnacentral:rRNA from 1 species